rnacentral:rRNA from 1 species
AUUGAACGCUGGCGGCAUGCCUUACACAUGCAAGUCGAACGGUAACAGGUCUUCGGAUGCUGACGAGUGGCGAACGGGUGAGUAAUAUAUCGGAACGUGCCCAGUCGUGGGGGAUAACGUAGCGAAAGCUACGCUAAUACCGCAUACGAUCUAUGGAUGAAAGCGGGGGAUCGCAAGACCUCGCGCGAUUGGAGCGGCCGAUAUCAGAUUAGGUAGUUGGUGGGGUAAAGGCUCACCAAGCCGACGAUCUGUAGCUGGUCUGAGAGGACGACCAGCCACACUGGGACUGAGACACGGCCCAGACUCCUACGGGAGGCAGCAGUGGGGAAUUUUGGACAAUGGGCGCAAGCCUGAUCCAGCAAUGCCGCGUGCAGGAUGAAGGCCUUCGGGUUGUAAACUGCUUUCGUACGGAGCGAAAAGGCUCUCUCUAAUACAGGGGGCUCAUGACGGUACCGUAAGAAUAAGCACCGGCUAACUACGUGCCAGCAGCCGCAGUAA